GCUUAACGCGAAGAACCUUACCAGGGCUUGAAUGCAUUAUGACAGGGGUGGAGACACCUUUUCCUUCGGGCAUUUUGCAAGGUGCUGCAUGGUUGUCGUCAGCUCGUGCCGUGAGGUGUCAGGUUAAGUCCUAUAACGAGCGCAACCCCUACCGUUAGUUGCCAGCGGGUCAUGCCGGGGACUCUAGCGGGACUGCCGGUGCAAACCGUGAGGAAGGUGGGGAUGACGUCAAAUCAUCACGGCCCUUACGUCCUGGGCCACACACGUGCUACAAUGGCCGGUACAGAGAGCAGCCACGCCGCAAGGCGGAGCGAAUCUACAAAACCGGUCACAGUUCGGAUCGGGGUCUGCAACCCGACCCCGUGAAGCUGGAAUCGCUAGUAAUCGGAUAUCAGCCAUGAUCCGGUGAAUACGUUCCCGGGUCUUGUACACACCG
rnacentral:rRNA from 1 species